ensembl:miRNA microRNA 150
CCCUGUCUCCCAACCCUUGUACCAGUGCUGUGCCUCGGUCCCUGGUACAGGCAUGGGGGGCAGGG